AUCAGCACGACCGCGCGAAGGCGAGCAGAAUCCCAAGCAUUGAAGAAUUUUCUAAGGCAUGCAAAGGCUCACGAAGUCUCAAAGCCUGUUUAUGGCGAGACUAGAAGCCAAGCGUGCCGGGAUCUGCUCGACCGUUCGAAGGCGAGCAGAAUCCCAAGCAUUGAAGAAUUUUCUAAGGCAUGCAAUGGCUUAUCAAGUCUCAAAGCCUGUUUAUGGCAAGACCAGAUGCCAAGGGUGCCAGAAUCUGCUCGACCGCGCGAAGGCGAGCAGAAUCCCAAGCAUUGAAGAAUUUUCUAAGGCAUGCAAAGGCUCACGAAGUCUCAAAGCCUGUUUAUGGCGAGACCAGAAGCCAUGCGUGCCAGGAUCUGCUCGACCGCGCGAAG
rnacentral:lncRNA from 1 species